GUAGGGAAUAUUGGGCAAUGGAUGCAAGUCUGACCCAGCCAUCCCGCGUGCCGGAAGAAGGCCCUCAGGGUUGUAAACGGCUUUUGACGGUGAAGAACUGACAGGAUGCGUCCUGUUUUGACGGUAGCCGUUGAAUAAGCACCGGCUAACUCCGUGCCAGCAGCCGCGGUAAUACGGAGGGUGCGAGCGUUGUCCGGAUUUAUUGGGUUUAAAGGGUGCGUAGGCUGGAAGGUCAGUCAGCGGUGAAAAGCUAUCGCUUAACGAUAGUCUUGCCGCAGAUACUUCCUUUCUUGGAUGAGGAGGAGGCCACUGGAACGGAUGGUGUAGCGGUGAAAUGCAUAGAUAUCAUCCAGAACACCGAUUGCGAAGGCAGGUGGCUGUACCUUAAUCGACGCUGAUGCACGAAAGCAUGGGGAGCAAACAGGAUUAGAUACCCUUGUAGUCC
rnacentral:rRNA from 1 species